rnacentral:rRNA from 1 species
UACGUAGGGUGCUAGCGUUGCUCGGAAUUACUGGGCGUAAAGGGAGCGUAGGCGGAUAGUUUAGUCAGAGGUGAAAGCCCAGGGCUCAACCUUGGAAUUGCCUUUGAUACUGGCUAUCUUGAGUACGGAAGAGGUAUGUGGAACUCCGAGUGUAGAGGUGAAAUUCGUAGAUAUUCGGAAGAACACCAGUGGCGAAGGCGACAUACUGGUCCGUUACUGACGCUGAGGCUCGAAAGCGUGGGGAGCAAACAGG